rnacentral:rRNA from 1 species
UGGCGAACGGGUGGAGUAACGCGUGAGGAACCCUGCCUCAAAAGAAGGGGGGAACAGUUGGAAACGACUGCUAAUACCGCAUAAGCCCACGACCCGGCAUCGGGAAGAGGGAAAAGGAGCAAUCCGCUUUGAGAUGGCCUCGCGUCCGAUUAGCUAGUUGGUGAGGUAACGGCCCACCAAGGCGACGAUCGGUAGCCGGACUGAGAGGUUGAACGGCCACAUUGGGACUGAGACACGGCCCAG